rnacentral:rRNA from 1 species
GCGGUUUCCAGAGAUGGAUUCCUUCAGUUCGGCUGGACCAUAGACAGGUGCUGCAUGGCUGUCGUCAGCUCGUGUCGUGAGAUGUUCGGUUAAGUCCGGCAACGAGCGCAACCCACACUCUUAGUUGCCAGCAUUCAGUUGGGCACUCUAAGAGAACUGCCGGUGAUAAGCCGGAGGAAGGUGUGGAUGACGUCAAGUCCUCAUGGCCCUUACGGGUUGGGCUACACACGUGCUACAAUGGUGGUGACAAUGGGUUAAUCCCAAAAAGCCAUCUCAGUUCGGAUUGUCGUCUGCAACUCGACGGCAUGAAGUCGGAAUCGCUAGUAAUCGCGUAACAGCAUGACGCGGUGAAUACGUUCCCGGGCCUUGUACACACCGCCCGUCACACCAUGGGAGUUGGGUUUACCCGAAGACGGUGCGCCAACCUGUAAAGGGGGCAGCCGGCCACCGUAGGCUCAGCGACUGGGGUGAAGUCGUAACAAGGUAGCCGUAGGGGAACC